rnacentral:rRNA from 1 species
GACGGAGGGGGCUAGCGUUGUUCGGAAUGACUGGGCGUAAAGGGCGCGUAGGCGGUUUUUUAAGUGAGGCGUGAAAGCCCUGGGCUUAACCCAGGAGGUGCGUUUCAGACUGGAAGACUUGAGUGCGAGAGAGGAAAGUGGAAUUUCUAGUGUAGAGGUGAAAUUCGUAGAUAUUAGAAAGAACACCCGUGGCGAAGGCGGCUUUCUGGCUCGCAACUGACGCUGAGGCGCGAAAGCGUGGGGAG